AUAACACAGAGGAGAUACAGUCACAACGGUAAAGGUUCCUGGAACACACAGGACAUACAGUCACAUCAGUAAAGGUUUCUGGAACACUCAGGAGAUACAGUCACAUUGGUAAAGGUCCCUAUAACACACAGGAGAUACAGUCACAAUGGUAAAGGUUCCUGGAACACACAGGACAUACAGUCACAUAGGUACAUCAGUAAAGGUUUCUGGAACACACAGGAGAUACAGGUAAAUCAUGCACACAGUGAGGAAACAUUUUUGUGAUUUUCUUCAAAGAAAAAUGCAUACCUUCCAAGUGUCCCAAUUAAGGG